rnacentral:rRNA from 1 species
UACGUAGGGGGCAAGCGUUGUCCGGAAUCAUUGGGCGUAAAGAGCGUGUAGGCGGCCCGGUAAGUCCGCUGUGAAAGUCGAGGGCUCAACCCUCGAAUGCCGGCGGAUACUGCCGGGCUAGAGUCCGGAAGAGGCGAGUGGAAUUCCUGGUGUAGCGGUGGAAUGCGCAGAUAUCAGGAGGAACACCAAUAGGCGAAGGCAGCUCGCUGGGACGGUACUGACGCUGAGGCGCGAAAGCGUGGGGAGCAAACAGG